UACAGAGGGUGCGAGCGUUACUCGGAAUUACUGGGCGUAAAGCGUGCGUAGACGGUAGCGUAAGUCAGAUGUGAAAGCCCCGGGCUCAACCUGGGAAUGGCAUUUGAGACUGCUCUGCUCGGGUGCGGAAGAGGGAAGCGGAAUUUCCGGUGUAGCGGUGAAAUGCGUAGAUAUCGGAAGGAACACCAGUGGCGAAAGCGGCUUCCUGGUCCGACACCGACGUUCAGGCACGAAAGCGUGGGGAGCAAACAGG
rnacentral:rRNA from 1 species